rnacentral:rRNA from 1 species
GACGAACGCUGGCGGCGUGCUUAACACAUGCAAGUCGAACGGAAAGACCCUGCUUUUGUGGGGCGCUCGAGUGGCGAACGGGUGAGUAACACGUGAGUAACCUGCCCUUGACUUUGGGAUAACUUCAGGAAACUGGGGCUAAUACCGGAUAGGAGCUCCUGCUGCAUGGUGGGGGUUGGAAAGUUUCGGCGGUUGGGGAUGGACUCGCGGCUUAUCAGCUUGUUGGUGGGGUAGUGGCUUACCAAGGCUUUGACGGGUAGCCGGCCUGAGAGGGUGACCGGCCACAUUGGGACUGAGAUACGGCCCAGACUCCUACGGGAGGCAGCAGUGGGGAAUAUUGCACAAUGGGCGGAAGCCUGAUGCAGCAACGCCGCGUGCGGGAUGACGGCCUUCGGGUUGUAAACCGCUUUCGCCUGUGACGAAGCGUGAGUGACGGUAAUGGGUAAAGAAGCACCGGCUAACUACGU